GGAAAGAUGGCAGAGAGGUUGAAUGCACCGGUUUUGAAAACCGGCUUAGUGAAGACUAACGGGGGUUCGAAUCCCUCUCUUUCCG
rnacentral:tRNA from 3 species